GGCAGCUUACCAUGCAAGUCGAACGGUACAGGGAUUAGCUUGCUAAUUUGCUGACGAGUGGCGGACGGGUGAGUAAUGCUUGGGAAUCUGGCUUAUGGAGGGGGAUAACUACGGGAAACUGUAGCUAAUACCGCGUAAUAUCGGAAGAUUAAAGGGUGGGACUUUCGGGCCACCUGCCAUAAGAUGAGCCCAAGUGGGAUUAGGUAGUUGGUUAGGUAAAGGCUGACCAAGCCGACGAUCUCUAGCUGGUCUGAGAGGAUGACCAGCCACACUGGAACUGAGACACGGUCCAGACUCCUACGGGAGGCAGCAGUGGGGAAUAUUGCACAAUGGGGGGAACCCUGAUGCAGCCAUGCCGCGUGAAUGAAGAAGGCCUUCGGGUUGUAAAGUUCUUUCGGUGACGAGGAAGGUUGAUAUGUUAAUAGCGUAUCAAAUUGACGUUAAUCACAGAAGAAGCACCGGCUAACUCCGUGCCAGCAGCCGCGGUAAU
rnacentral:rRNA from 1 species